rnacentral:misc_RNA from 1 species
UUUUUUUUUUUUUUCAAAAAAAAUUUUCACAAACAUUAUUUUCUGAUAAAUAAAUGGAGCUUUAGAGUUGUGAUUGACUUAGCCCUGCAAUCUUGGCUUAGGCUAUCUACGCAUCACAAUAUGGAACCUGGGCAGCAAAUGUAAAAAGGCAUGGAUGAUUAAUAUUGCAUAGCAUAGUUCUUUCUCUCUCUUUGUGAAGAUUUAUUUUUAAGUGUGAGAAAAUUUGAAAGCCGUUAAAAACAUUUGAUAGAUUAAUUUCUUUCUAAGCAAAAAACAAUUGUAGAAUAGUAUACAUUUAUGAAAGGAGAGAUCACUGUGUAAUUAAGACAGCAGCAUGCUUCAGUUCUCACAAAAUAGUGGGACUCAAGGUAACAUGAGACGAUUGAAACAUGCUCGGAUCUGUUCACAGCAUAACAGUUAAUAGUUUAUACAGUGUUUAUUAGAUAGUAAAGAACUAACAUUAU